rnacentral:rRNA from 1 species
GACGAACGCUGGCGGCGUGCUUAACACAUGCAAGUCGAACGGAAAGGCCCUGCUUUUGUGGGGUGCUCGAGUGGCGAACGGGUGAGUAACACGUGAGUAACCUGCCUUUGACUUUGGGAUAACUUCAGGAAACUGGGGCUAAUACCGGAUAGGAGCUCCUGCUGCAUGGUGGGGGUUGGAAAGUUUCGGCGGUUGGGGAUGGACUCGCGGCUUAUCAGCUUGUUGGUGGGGUAGUGGCUUACCAAGGCUUUGACGGGUAGCCGGCCUGAGAGGGUGACCGGCCACAUUGGGACUGAGAUACGGCCCAGACUCCUACGGGAGGCAGCAGUGGGGAAUAUCGCACAAUGGGCGGAAGCCUGAUGCAGCAACGCCGCGUGCGGGAUGACGGCCUUCGGGUUGUAAACCGCUUUCGCCUGUGACGAAGCGUGAGUGACGGUAAUGGGUAAAGAAGCACCGGCUAACUACGUG